AUGACCAUCCAUCCCGCAUAUCCCGCGCUCCCUCCAUCCCACCUCCUGCACUCUGACCCAUCAGCCCCCAGAACCGCCGCCGUCGUUGCAUCUAACCCGCGCGCCACUCCGCGGGCCGGGAUCCAGCCCCCGCGCCUCCCCACUCCUGGAUCCGGCCGCCUCGCUGCUCCCGCGCCUGAGCCGGCCCCCGCGCCGCCCCACUCCUGGAUCCGGCCGCCUUCCCACCUUGCUCCCCCGGCAGCACCCGCCUCAGGCCGACGGCGCGAGGAGGCCGAGCUCGGCCGUGCUCGCCACCUUGGUGGCUCACCCCGCCCCAGCCACCUCCGCCCUUGCCUCCAACCACCGCCCCGACCACCUCCACCACCGCCCUCUGCCCCGACCACCUCCCUUCCACCCGCCCCCAACUUCCCCUCCGGCGUGACCUUCCCAGCACUCCACCGCGACCUUCCCUCCCCUCCGACGCGGCCUGCCCUCCGCCCAUGUUUCUUGCACCAUGCUGUCGUCCCCACUCGCAAAAUCAAGCCAUGGCCGGAGAGAUCCAUCAUGGCUCCCCUGCAGCAGCUAUUUUUCCAUAUGUAG
rnacentral:rRNA from 1 species